rnacentral:rRNA from 1 species
CCUACGGGCGGCAGCAGUGGGGAAUAUUGGGCAAUGGGCGCAAGCCUGACCCAGCAACGCCGCGUGAAGGAAGAAGGCUUUCGGGUUGUAAACUACUUUUCUCAGGGACGAAGCAAGUGACGGUACCUGAGGAAUCAGCCACGGCUAACUACGUGCCAGCAGCCGCGGUAAUACGUAGGUGGCAAGCGUUAUUCGGAUUUACUGGGUGUAAAGGGCGUGUAGGCGGGACGGCAAGUCAGAUGUGAAAACCACGGGCUCAACCUGUGGCCUGCAUUUGAUACUGGAGUUCUUGAGUACUGGAGAGGCAGACAGAAUUCCUGGUGUAGCGGUGAAAUGCGUAGAUAUUAGGAGGAACACCAGUGGCGAAGGCGGUCUGCUGGACAGCAACUGACGCUGAGGUGCGAAAGCGUGGGGAGCAAACAGGAUUAGAUACCCCGGUAGUC